rnacentral:rRNA from 1 species
GACAGAGGCCCCUAGCGUUAGGCGGAAUCACUGGGCUUAAAGCGUGUGUAGGCGGACGCCUAAGUGUCUUGUGAAAUCCCACGGCUCACCCGUGGAACUGCUGGGCAUACUGGGCGUCUUGGGCCAACUAGGGGCAGCCGGAACAAGCGGUGGAGCGGUGAAAUGCGUAGAUAUCGCUUGGAACGCCGAAGGUGAAAACAGGCUGCUGGGGGUUGUGCCGACGCUGAGACACGAAAGCCAGGGGAGCAAACGGG